rnacentral:lncRNA from 1 species
AGGAUAACUAAACUUUUCUGCCAACUACUAUUCCCACUGCUCCAACCUCACACUGCAGCUAAUCCACUCCCUACAAGGAUGGUCGAGAUUUUCCUCCACUUAAAUGAAUUCCCUCCCUGGCUUCCACACUGCCCUCAGGAUGAAAACCCAAGUUCCUCUCAGCUUAGUUUAGAAAGCUCUUCACCAGGUCAUUUCAAAGCCUUAGAAACUGGCCUCAACAGUAACUGCAGGAAGCAUACUUGUCAGAUCUGAGCAAUAAAAAUACACCCUGACUGCUGAGCCUGGAGCACGGGAGAGCCUACAGCUAACCAGGGAAGACAUGCUUUAGAUAAAGUCCUUCCAACAUCUUGCAACCUGGAUAACAGCCAAGUCCUAUUCAUCCCUCUCAACCUGGCUCUUCCAUGCCCUCCUGCAAGGCCUUCCCCAGCCCUUCUCUGUGGAUGCCCCUCCUCCGUUUUGAAGCAGACUGGAUACCAGCCCCACCCCGCCGCCAUGCUUCUUUUAUCCUUGCAGAAAGCCUAUCUCCACCGGACUGUGACAACUUCAUGAGGGUGUAGAGCUCAUGCCUGUUUGAUUAGUCCCUUAACCACCACUGUUCCCAGCACCUGAGCUUCGUCCUUGGCACCUUGUGAACCUACAAUAAAUAUUUGUUAAAUGAAUGAAUAAAAGACUGAGAAGCGGGGGCA